rnacentral:rRNA from 1 species
UACGUAGGGUGCAAGCGUUGUCCGGAAUUAUUGGGCGUAAAGAGCUUGUAGGCGGUUUGUCGCGUCUGCUGUGAAAUUUCGGGGCUCAACCCCGAACUUGCAGUGGGUACGGGCAGACUAGAGUGUGGUAGGGGAGACUGGAAUUCCUGGUGUAGCGGUGAAAUGCGCAGAUAUCAAGAGGAACACCUGCGGCGAAGGCGGGUUGCUGGGCCGACACUGACGCUGAGGCGCGAAAGCCAGGGGAGCGAACGGG